rnacentral:lncRNA from 1 species
UUUAUUAUUCUUUUUAUUUUUUAUGCCUUUUUGAUUAUGCCAAAAAGGGGGAGAAAUUAUUAAAUAGCUCUGAUGAAAAUUAUGUCUAAAACCUUAAAGCACUCUGCAACAAUUGUUUAAAUAAUUUUAUCUAACAUAAAAUUUAAGCAUUUACAGAAAGUUUUCAGAAACCUAAUUACUUGGAAAGCUCUGGUAAGAACUUCUGAACUCCCUAGCGCUAACUCAGGGGGAGCUUUUGUCUAUCUG